CGGAAAAUAUCGUUCCUCUGCAAUUUUAAAUUCGUACAUUCUCUAUAGAUUUUCUGAUGUUGCACGAACGAAAACAUUCCCUAAAAUAACUAAAAUUAUUGAAGAUAGCAACAACAAAAUUUUCAGUCGAAACCAUUCCCAUUCCCAUUCCGGAUAAUGAUUUGUGGGUACCAAGGAGUAAAUUGGGCCACCAUUUUAAUAAUAUAGGCCCUUCAUAAUCCCCUUAGGAUAUAAAAAUUUGGAACCCCCUU